rnacentral:rRNA from 1 species
AGCAUGACCUUUAUAUCCAGGGCUUACACACACGCUACAAUGGUCUGUACAAUGGGUAGCCAAGCCGCGAGGCGGAGCCAAUCCUGAAAGCAGGCCUCAGUUCAGAUUGCAGUCUGCAACUCGACUGCAUGAAGCCGGAGUUGCUAGUAACCGCAGGUCAGCAAUACUGCGGUGAAUACGUUCCCGGGUCUU